GACAGAGGUGCCAAGCGUUAGGCGGAAUCACUGGGCUUAAAGCGUGUGUAGGCGGAGUUCUAAGUACCUUGUGAAAUCCCACGGCUCAACCGUGGAACUGCUCGGUAUACUGGUCCUCUUGAGCCACUUAGGGGCUGUCGGAAACAAGCGGUGGAGCGGUGAAAUGCGCAGAUAUCGGGAAGAACACCCGUGGCGAAGGCGGUUCUCUGGGCAUGAUCUGACGCUGAGACGCGAAAGCGCGGGGAGCGAACGGG
rnacentral:rRNA from 1 species